rnacentral:misc_RNA from 1 species
GUAUAAGGUUUAUAGGCACAAGGGCCCAAUAUUACAUUCUGUUACAUACAUUGGGGUAUAUGAAAAACGUAGACCCGGAAAUGCAAAGAAAGCCAGCUGAUGCCAGCAAUCCUCCCGACCGAGUUGCCUCGGAAAGUCAAUCCAAGUCUACAAGAGGUGCACAGGUGGAGAGAUGAGGAUGGUGGGCGUGCACAUGCCCCCGAAAGGACCAGCAACAACCACACCAAGUUCAUUCAAUAAUGAUCCUUCCGCAGGUUCACCUACGGAAA